AUGAAUUGCCUAAGUUGGAACUGCCGGGGAGGGGGGAACACCCGGACAGUUCGUGAGCUAGCGACGUUGUGUAAGUCGCGUUCCCCCAUGCUGGUGUUUUUGUGUGAAACAAGACAAAAGGAGGAGAAGAUGAAAAGGAUCCGCGCAAAACUUGGUCUGAAGGGUUUUUGUGGAGUGGAUAGCAAUGGUCUAAGUGGUGGUUUGGCACUAUAUUGGAGAGAAGAAUGUGUGGUGGAUAUUCUCAACAAGGAUGACAGGUUCAUUGAUGUAGCUAUUAGGGUUCGGGAAGGAGCGCCGGAGUGGAGAGCUACCUUUGUAUAUGGAGAACCGCGGGUGGAAAAUAGACACCUAAUGUGGACUAGGUUACGGGAUAUGAAAACUGCUAAUAAUUUGCCCUGGCUAGUUAUCGGUGACUUUAACGAAGCUAUGUGGGACUUCGAGCAUUUUUCAGUCACGCCAAGGGCGGAAGCACAGAUGGUAGCGUUCAGGGAUACGCUGGAGGUAUGUGAAUUAGUAGAUCUUGGGUUCACCGGCCUUCCCUUCACAUACGAUAACAGAAGAGGGAGGUCGGCAAAUGUCAAGGUGAGACUUGACCGAGCAGUGGCU
rnacentral:rRNA from 1 species